rnacentral:tRNA from 1 species
GCCCUCGUGGCCUAACGGAUAAGGCAUCGGUCUCCUAAACCGGGGAUUGCGGGUUUCGAGUCCCGCCGAGGGUA